rnacentral:rRNA from 1 species
GACGAACGCUGGCGGCGUGCCUAAUACAUGCAAGUCGAACGCAUUUUCUUUCACCGUAGCUUGCUACACCGAAAGAAAAUGAGUGGCGAACGGGUGAGUAACACGUGGGUAACCUGCCCAUCAGCGGGGGAUAACACUUGGAAACAGGUGCUAAUACCGCAUAAUUCCAUUUACUGCAUGGUAGAUGGAUGAAAGGCGCUUUUGCGUCACUGAUGGAUGGACCCGCGGUGCAUUAGCUAGUUGGUGGGGUAACGGCCUACCAAGGCUGCGAUGCAUAGCCGACCUGAGAGGGUGAUCGGCCAAACUGGGACUGAGACACGGCCCAGACUCCUACGGGAGGCAGCAGUAGGGAAUCUUCGGCAAUGGACGCAAGUCUGACCGAGCAACGCCGCGUGAGUGAAGAAGGUUGUCGGAUCGUAAAACUCUGUUGUUAGAAAAGAACAAGGAUGAGAGUGGAAAGUUCAUCCCUUGACGGUAUCUAACCAGAAAGCCACGGCUAACUACGUG